CCUACCCCUAGAAGGGUUACAGGUGGCUGCAGUGUCAUAUGUACCUCAGUACAUGGCAGAGAGGAGAGAGGCUAUGUCUACACUCAAAGUUCUGACCCAUGAACAUCUGAAUGAUUAAUAGUGAGCCUGA